rnacentral:rRNA from 1 species
UACGUAGGGGGCAAGCGUUGUCCGGAUUUAUUGGGCGUAAAGAGCGUGUAGGCGGCCAUGUAGGUCCGGUGUGAAAACUCGAGGCUUAACCUCGAGAUGUCAUCGGAAACCAUUUGGCUAGAGUCCGGAAGAGGAGAGUGGAAUUCCUGGUGUAGCGGUGAAAUGCGUAGAUAUUGGGUGGAACACCGGUGGCGAAAGCGGCUCACUGGCCCGGUUCUGACGCUGAGGCGCGAAAGCGUGGGGAGCAAACAGG